UGCCUUUCUCUCAUGGCCUUGAGGCUGCCAUUCCAGUGCAGCAGCUGGAAGACUGUCAUCAGCUCCUGGGGGAAGGAGAUUGAAGGACCAAGACAGUGAUUUUAUAUUGGCAAGCUGCAUCUAAAUGACGUGGGGGACCUUUUACAAAGCCAACGAGGCCAUAUGGAGAAAGCUGCUGGUACCCACAGGAACUUUGGGCUGAGAAGUCCAUCUGUGCCAGGACUUGCCCAUCUGCUGAUCUGAUGGAGAGGAUCGACCUCAUGGUCCACUGAUAGCCUAUUCGAAGUAUCUAAGAGUGGCAUGUCCUACCAGUUGGGAAGCUACCAGUUAGGAAGCCAUACUUCUACAUCUAACAUGGUUAAACCAACACAUCUAUUCAACAAACAUUUAUCAUAGAAUACUUGAUAUCAAAGACAUACAAUCAAAGAGACAAAACAAAACAAAAAACCCUACAAACCCACAUACAGAAUUACAGCCUGAGACACAUGGACCUUGUGACAUGCAAGAUUGACAGAGGAAACAGAAAGAACAGACACGGAGACAGGUUUAUCAUGAAGACACCAAGAUGGGAAAGUCAUGAAAGAUUUACAGCAGUGGAAGUAGGAGAGGCCAGGGACGGCCUUCAGAUUACAGCAAAGGUCUGACACCUGUGGGAAAGAGAGAUGGAAGAAAGUUUGGAUUUGAGAGUCUCAGACUGUAGUGCAGUUCCCAGAAAGCUUUGGCCUAGUAGGAAACCCUCAUGCCAAAGGCAUCCUGCAUCCCACCAGGAUGUGUCUGCCUUAAUAUUCCCACGGUGUUCAGCCAUUGGCUGAGAACAGCAUACGGGAAACGUGACCUCAGUGCAAAUGUGGAAUGGACCCAGAGAAGGCAACAGCUAGGCUGGUAGUUAUGCUCCCUGAAGCAGGAAAGUUGAAUAGCCCAUUUUCAUGGCUGCCACACACACAUUAACCAAAAAUAUGAACACUUGAGAGGUGGAUAGCUCCAUUCUAGGCAUUAAGGAUGAAGAAAAAAAAUCAACAAACAAACAAAUACCACAGUCCUUGCCAGCAAGGUGAUCAAAAUGUAGUGGUGCAUAGUAACAGUUUUCUCGCCUGCUCAGCAGCCCCUGGGCACCCCAUGUACCCACUGAGAGUUUGAAAAGCAGCGUAAGUUCUUUCUAAUGUCCUAUAUUUAACUGACUUUAGAAUGUUUAUUCUCUUAUUAAAAGACAGCAUGAAAAGGAAACACUCUUUCCCACCAUUGGUUUUGGCAAGGGCUCUUCAAAGGUCACACCGCCCAGAAAACUUAGCCAUUGUCGUUGUUUCCACUGAGAUCUUUUCAGUGCCAGUUCCCUCUUUGAGACAAUCUAGCACAAUGCACUGGCUGACAGCUCCCCUGACAGCCAAACAACGGGGAGAACUGUGGGAUAAAGAGGAAGGGGGGAGACCACCAUAACUGGGAAAGUCCUAUUUGAAACCAUAGGUCUACCCCACAUCCAGUUAAAUCUCACUUGGCACAGAGUUACAGGACUAUUUUUUAAUGACUGCUCAAAGCCAAAGGAAAUGGAGAGUUCUGCUUCAGAAAUGUGAAUAUGAAAUGAGACAUUGAGAAAGUGGUCCAGAAAAAAGCAAUUAACCGUGAUCUGCAUCUGAAAAUGCUCAUGGACUUUUUCAUUUUUAGAGCUGGAAGGAACUUCAGAGAUUAUCUGGCCCCACUUUAAGCUACGGAAGGACAAAGGACUUGCUAGGGGUCACAGGGCUGUGACAGAGUUUGGGAUAUGGAUCUAGAUAUCCCGAGGCCAAUGUUCUCUCCAAUCUGGGGAUCUCAAUCCAGGGCCCAAGAUGCAGUCCAUGACUGAGCUUCACAGAGGCUCACGAGCCCCCUAAAACUGUUGAGUAAAAUUGUGUGUGUGCAUUUGUGUGUGUAUGAAUAUUUGUACAUGGUGAGCGCACAGCCCAGCGUUUUUAUCUGAUUUUCAGUGAGGAACCAUGAAUAUAAUCGCUUACAAACAGAUAAAGAACAGUGAGUUAGGAGACAUACGCAUAUACGACAGCUACAUUUGUUUUCUGGAAGUCUCUGACAGAUGCAGGUCUGAAAGGGACAAGAAACACCAAGGUAGUUCAUAAUGUUUAAGUGUUUGCACCGUUAUGUUGAACAAGAACAAAAAUGAGCAUAGUUUGACUUUUACCCUUAGGAGAUAAAAUAAUAGAUGAAUGUCUACAUGGAAUGAGAUAAUCUGUCCAUCAGAAUAAAAACACUAAACCAACACAUUAAACUAUGGUCAAAACUUUAUAUCAUAUGAAUUAAAUACAAUUUUGUGGUGAGGGAGCAGAGAUAAUGAAUAGAAGGUGAAAUUGAGUGGUAAGUAAAAAGACUCCCCCUGAUCAUAAAGGAUGUUGGGAACAGGCUGGCCCAGGUUACUUCACAUUUUUAUGACCAAGAGAGAAGCCAUUAUUAUGGCAAUAUUUCAUCUGAUAGUUCGAAUUCUAGUUGUUAGAGCAUAUCCAUGAACAGCCCACAGUGCACAGUCUUUUUGGAAGGGAGGGAGUAACAGUGACCUUGGGGAGGACAAUUGUAGGCUGAAUAAAACCUCCUGCCAAACUGUCUAAUAUCCUAAUCUUCAGAACCUGUGAUGUUACCUUAUACGGCAAAGCCUUUGCAGAGUGUUUAAGUUAAGGAAUCUGAGUUGGGGAGUUUAUCCUGGAUUUUCUGGAUGGGCCCUAAAUGCAAUCACAAGUGUCCUUAUAAAAUGAAGUCAGAUUUAACAAAACAAAAAGGAGCAGGCAUGAGGCAGAGAUCUCUACCACAGAGGCUGAGUUUGGAAUGAUAUAGUCAUGAGCCAAGGAAUGCAGGCAGCCACCAGAAGCAGAAAGAAGCAUGGAACAGAUUCUCCCCUGGAGCUUCUGGUGGGGGGAGGGGGACACAUGACUGCAGAUACCCUGAUUUUCACAUAGUGAUGCUGAUUUUGCACUUCUGAUCUCCAGAACAGUGAGAGAAUAAAUUUCUUUUGUUUCAAGCCACUGAUUUUCUAAUGGUUUGUUACAGCAGCCACAGGAAACUAAUAUAGGGAUUAAUUCACAUUUCCAAAAAUUGGAAAUAUUGAGACCAAUUAAUUUAAUUCCAGUCACAGGAAAAAAAAACCCUGUGAUUCUGAGGAAAAAAAAGCAACUAAACAGAAAACACUACACAAGGUUCAUUUGUUCAACCUAGUGGACUAGCUGGGCAAAAUCUCCAAUCAUGAAGCCAUACUAUAAAAUAAAGUGAGAGCAAUAAUCCCCAAACAAUAGGGCUGAAGACUACAAGGGCAAGGAAAGUGAUUUGCUCAAUCACGCCAGUUUAUGAAUUGCCAGAUGUCAAAUAUGAGAAGGGGACUACAUGUCAAUGAGGGGGCAAAGGAAAUGGUGAGGCUAACAAAGCCUAUCAUACAUACACUUCAAAAUGCAUAGCAAUAGCAUCUACUUGUUGAGUACCGUGUGCUGCACAUGCUGCAUUCAUUAUCUCAUUUAAUCCUCACAAAACUAUCAAGAGAUGUAUUAUAAUACUGAUCUGUACAAAAGCAAACUAUUUCAGAAACAAACCAGAAGUAGCAGAACCAAGAUUUAGAGACAUUUAUUGGUCUCAAAGCCAGCCUUCUUUCUUCUGUACUAUCCUGCUUUAUUGCACCAUUAAUUUUCACACAUGCUCUAUUUAACAGAAUAUGAGCUCCAUCGAGGUAGGGACUAACUAUCUGUCUUGUUUACCAUGUAACUGGUGAUCAAUAAAUAUUUGGUAAAUGAAUGGAACAGAUGAGGCAUAGAGAUUAAGCAGUUUCUCCAAGAUCACACUAUUUAACAGGGCCAGGCACUCUUGAUUCCAAAUCCUAUGCAAUAUAAACUGACGGAAGAUCCUACAGCAUACUGAGCUGUGUACUUAUCCUGGAUGGGUGGGAGUGGGGAAGAGAUAAACACAAACAGGUGAAACAACAGAACAGUUUUGCAUAUAAAUGUUGAAAUCCUCUAUGAGAGAUGGUAAAUCUAAAGACUUUGACUGGAAAAGUUAACUCGGAGCAGUCAGGAAGAAGCUGAAGGAUGUGAAUUGAAGAUGAUGUGGUAAAGCAUUGCUGGAUCUGGGAAUGGUUUGGGUGGAGACCAAAGUAAAUUGUAUUCUCGCAAAUCCCAUGCCAUCAGUCACAAGGGUAUGUGGGUAUGUGCCAGUGGCAGCUUUGCCUAUUAAUCAAAGCGGAAUAAAUGAUUCCAUGUGGAGAAGGGCUUCUGAGCCAAAUCGGCAGAGAUUUUGCUUGCCUGAAGCUGAAUUAUCUGCCAAACUCUCCUCAAGGACUGGCUGGGUACCCAGGCUGGAAAUGAGAACUUCAACAAUAAUGAGCCAGACUGUGAGAGGAAGUGGGAGGUUGGAGGAGAAAACCACCAAGGUCUGAAGCCUGACCGAUUGCUUUCUGUCAGCACAGUCCCCUCAUUCCCUCAGCCCUGCUAAGGAAAUGAGAACGUUUUUACAGAACACUCGGUGUGGAAGCAAAGCCACAGGCUCUCCAAGGAGCACAGACAAGCGGUCUGUGCCCAGAGUCAGGAGAGCCUUCCUGGGUCUCAACUUAAACAGACCUGAAGGAGCAGGAGAGUACCUGGUGGCAGUUCUAGCCCAUAGCCUUCUUAACCCUAGGAUUUGAGUAGAAAAAGAACUAUAUUUCCUUAUGAUGAAUUUCUGAAUCCUAACCAUUUGUAUCCUUAGUACCUAGCAAGGCCCUUGCCCCAAAGCAAGAUUUCAAAUUCUAUGAGGAAUCAUAGACAAUUAAUGAAUACAUCACUAGGCACAUAAAGAAAAGUGGAUCUAAAAAUCAGUUUUUAUUGAAAUCUUUGAGUUUACGCCAUCUGGGUUUACGAGUGGGAGGAAAUAAAUGUGUUUCUUAAGGAAAUUUGACCCAACAAGUUUGAUAUAAGAAUUAUUUUUAAAUAUCCAGUAAGUAUCAGUUGAAGUGGCUCAGUUAAUCCCUAUCAUAAUCUUUGAGGAAACUAAAGCACAGGCAUUAAGUCCCUUCGCCCAGAGAUAUAGCUGGCCAGUGACAGAGAUUUCCAAAGCCUAUGUGUGCUCUUUUCACAACACUUCCCCCCUCCCCCAAAAAUAAAAAACAGUUAUUGUCUAUAGAGAAAGCCCUGCAACCCUUUUUAUUGUUAAACUAGAAAGUUAAAGAUACAGUCAGUCACUUCCAGGUCAGGCAGGACCUGGUCCAUCAGACACAAGAGAUGUCUUCAAAAUCCCAGACUUAGAUCCUGGCUCCCACACCCUCCACUAUGUAUUCCUUGUCCCUUAUGCUGUAAAUCUGGAACUCCAACCCAACAGGAAACUCUACAUUGGUUAAACAAAAACAACAAAGAAAACCCUCACGUGCCCUUUCCCAGAAAUUAGGCAUCUUCAAGAUGAUGAUUUCUAACCGAAAUGGAGUUUCUAGCUGGCUCCUUUCCACGGAAUUUAACAUCGAGAGAGAGAGCCAAGACCUGGAAUUUAUCCUCCGUUCCUGGGCUAGGGCCAGACAGACAGAGAGACCAGAGUUGUGAGGCCCCCAUACUAAAAAAGACAUCCAAGUACUAAGUCACAGGAAGCUGCUGUGGGCUCAGUGGGACCGGGCCAGAAAAAGGCACAAUUCUUUGGGAGCAACUUGUGAGGGCACCCCCUAACUCCCCAGCAAAUCUGAAGUUAGAAAUUCCAGAGUGAAGGUAAGUACGUGAAGAAUUAAACAGUCAGGAUGAAGGAAAUGGAGUUCAGGAAUCGCCGAGAUGGCAGAAGAAAUGCUGAGGGCAUAUGGAUGAGAAAGUGCCUUGAAUCUGAGAUAAAGGACAGGAUCGCACACAAUGGGGACUGCUUCGCAGAGGUCAAGAAAUGUGAAGGCAUUAAGCUACAGCAGGAAUUCCAUUUCUGAAGAGAAAGGUUGGGAAGAAAGGAUUGUUUCAAAUAAAAAAAAAUUGGGGUCCCUGGAGAAUAUAUUAAUAACCCGAUGAAGGGGAGGGGUGGAAGGUUUAAAUGUGUGUAUUGUGCGUUUGUGCAUGUGCGUCUGUGCAGCCCAGAAGGAAACUCCCCAAAAGGAAAUGCGUGUGGGGACUCCACGCCAGGAAAAGCGAUCCGGAGGGCUGUGAGAGCGGGGCCCCUUUUCGGAGGGUGUCCCGCAGGAGGCCAGACCCGCAGACUCACCU